UAAAUCACAGAGCUGGCACUCGGCCAGGUCUUCCUCCUCAGAGUGUGACGUGAUUUUCUCCAUGCCUCCCCACCUCUCCAAACGACAACCCUGCGGGACCCACGCGAUCCCCUGGAGAGGGGUCAGAAGUGGGGAGGGACAGGCACUCGGCGGGGAGGCCUGGGCUGGAGCAGCCUUCCGCCAAGAAUGAGUUUUCUGCAAGAGCAGAGAAGUUCCAGCCCCCGGGGACCUAUUUUCGGACUUGUCUGAUUGCCCAGAAAGGGGCAGGCCCGACUUUCACAGAAAUUAGAAGCACAUACUCGGCCUCCAAGACAGAAAGGAUGAUGAAGAGAUGCAUGCUGAUUCAAACCAGUGCCUUCAACACUCAGGGGCAAGAAGAGCCGAGGUUUUUUUUUUUUUUUAUCCCCGCCCCCCCUCCCGCUUAAGAGCAAAGGCCCCUAAUUGGAAUCGUGGCUUCAGAGAAUGCUAGAACUGUGGUGAGUUUCAGACACGGCAAUCCAAAUGCUUCAUUUCAUGAAGGCCUGAGAGCUGGAAGAGCUUGGCUUCACUAGAUCUAGUGAGACUCAGAGCAAGGCAGGGUUACACCCCUUCUGAGUCGGGACCCACUGCUCCUGCCGCCCCUUCUGAAAGUUUUCUGAGUGGGCAACAUUGCUCUCUCCGGGGCUAAUUUCCACUCUCUGCGACCCUUACAUUCAGGCUGGCGAACACCUUUCUGAAGUGUCUGGCAGCCGGCUCCGACGGUCACCGCAGGACGAGGGUAGGAAAUCAAGGCUUGCACGUAGACAGCCGCCUCAGCCACGGUGUGUGCAUCUGAGCCAAGCGUACCUCGGGAAGGAGCUCGCUCCCUUUGCAACUAUAUCAUACCUUUUACAAAAAGUCACUUUGAGGUCACUGUUUUUUUUUUUUGUCCAGUAUUUCAAUACAUUAAAUGCAAUUACUUCAUUGUU